rnacentral:lncRNA from 1 species
GGGUUGCUGACGUACACAGGUUGUAUGAAUAGAGGCCUGAAAUGACAACUGGUGGAUCAGAGCUGAGGACUGCCCAGGGGCACAGGCAGAGCUGGAAGCAGGCUCUCCCAAGCUUCCCUGAGCAGGGUCUGGCAGCACAGAGCAAGACCAGAACAUAGCCCUGUGCCAUAGGCAGGUACCAGUGCAAGCCCAGUGAGGCCUGGUGCUUCUUGGACCAGCUGCAAACCACCCACACAUUAUCAGAAACAGGUGAACUCAUUAGACUUUCUGAUUUAAGCUUUUCCUCUGUAUUUUCUAAGAUAGAAAUACUUUGCAAUGGAGCAAGGCCUCCUUCCUUUCCUUCUCCAGGGCACAACCUGUUCUCCAGUUGUUAUAUGACCUCUUGUGAGGAAUUAUCAAGAUGAAAUAAAGCAUCCAAACCAUUCA